UUUGUGUGUUCAAUGUGUGACCGCUCUGCCUCCUUUUUUUUCGUUUUUUCUCCUCUUCUUGCUUUUGUCCACCACACUCCUGCAACCGCACUCCACAAGAAGACAACAAGCCGCACACAAAGGGAAAGAAAAAAGAAAUGCAACGCUUCGACUUUUGACCUCUGACCUCUGACCUCUGACCCUCAACGUUUCAAAGCAAAACAAAGUAAAGCAA
rnacentral:ribozyme from 1 species